rnacentral:rRNA from 1 species
UACGUAGGGGGCAAGCGUUGUCCGGAAUCAUUGGGCGUAAAGAGCGUGUAGGCGGUUCGGUAAGUCCGCUGUGAAAGUCCAGGGCUCAACCCUGGGAUGCCGGUGGAUACUGUCGGGCUAGAGUACGGAAGAGGCGAGUGGAAUUCCCGGUGUAGCGGUGAAAUGCGCAGAUAUCGGGAGGAACACCAAUUGCGAAGGCAGCUCGCUGGGACGUCACUGACGCUGAGACGCGAAAGCGUGGGGAGCAAACAGG